rnacentral:rRNA from 1 species
AUUGAACGCUGGCGGCAGGCCUAACACAUGCAAGUCGAGCGGAGCGGCAGACGGGUGAGUAAUGCCUAGGAAUCUGCCUGGUAGUGAGGGAUAACGUCAGGAACCGGGCGCUAAUACCGCAUACUAUCAGAGUAGCAUAUGUCGGAUUAGAUAGAUGGUGGGGUAAAGGCCUACAAAGGCGACGAUCCGUAACUGGUCUGAGAGGAUGAUCAGUCACACUGGAACUGAGACACGGUCCAGACUCCUACGGGAGGCAGCAGUGGGGAAUAUUGGACAAUGGGCGAAAGCCUGAUCCAGCCAUGCCGCGUGUGUGAAGAAGGUCUUCGGAUUGUAAAGCACUUUAAGUUGGGAGGCGUUACCAACAGAAUAAGCACCGGCUAACUUCGUGCCAGCAGCCGCGGUAAUAC